AUGCUCAAUGAUAGCAUCGCCUGGACUAUCUCGUGCGUCUACGACCCUCAAGGAGAGCAGGACAAGCUAGCUUUCAUUCAGGAGUUGAGGGCUCUAUCUGCCGUCUCUAGGAGUGAGUGGCUUUUACUGGGUGACUUCAACCUCAUCACUAAAGCGGUAUACAAGAACAAUAACAACAUAAACCGCCAACUAAUCAGAAAAUUCAGGAGGGCACUGGACUUCAUGAAAUUAAAGGAGCUACAUUUAUGUGGCUGGCCGUUCACCUGGUCCAACGAACAGGUUAGUCCGGUCCUGACAAAGAUAGACCAUGUUUUUCACUCCGACGACUGGGAUAUGCUCUUCCCAAAUGCCCACCUCCAGGCCAUCUCCACGGCCUGCUCAGACCAUGCACCGCUAUACCUUCAUGGAUGUGUUGAGAAUCCAAGGAAAUCGUCCUUCAAGUUUGAGGAGUUCUGGUUGCGCCUCCCUGGCUUCCACGAGGCCGUCUCUGUGGCUUGGAACAAGCCCGUCCAGGCUCAUGACGCGAUCCGCAGGAUACACAUCAAGAUUUGCAGGACUGCGAAGGCCUUGCAUAUGUGGCAUAAGGAGCAGGUCGGUGUUCUUAACACCCACAUCUCGGUGGCGAAAGAGAUCAUUGGUGGCUAG
rnacentral:rRNA from 1 species